rnacentral:lncRNA from 1 species
ACCCUGUUUGUUCAAUAUGGAAAAGUCUAGUUCCCUAUGGGAUAUCCCUAGUGGGAGCCUGCCAGGGAGUAAGAACCGAGAAUUGAUGAGCUUUGGUGACUCAAAUCUGGAAGCACAAAAACCACCAGUCCCAGAAUUUAGCUAUUAUACCAGUGUGCAUUCUAAAAUGUUUUUCUGAACAUUUUGGGGUUUUUUCAUAGGGGGUCGGGUGGGUGUGGAAGUAGAGGGGAGAAGGACAGAUUGGCAGGGUUUUAAAUGUUCUGAUGACCAGGUCAGGGUCAAAGGAUGUUACCAGGAUUCCUUCCCUUCCCUUCCGUUCCCUUCAUUUCACUUAGGUAAGGAUGAUAUGGUAUGACUUGAUGGAAUUAUGUAGU